UACGAAGGGGGCGAGCGUUGUUCGGAUUUACUGGGCGUAAAGGGCGCGCAGGCGGCUCAUUUUGUCAGGCGUGAAAGCCCCGGGCUUAACCUGGGAACUGCGUUUGAUACGGAUGGGCUAGAGUUCGGGAGAGGAGAGUGGAAUUCCCAGUGUAGAGGUGAAAUUCGUAGAUAUUGGGAAGAACACCGGUGGCGAAGGCGGCAUCCUGGACCAACACUGACGCUGAGGAGCGAAAGCCAGGGGAGCAAACGGG
rnacentral:rRNA from 1 species